rnacentral:lncRNA from 1 species
UAACAGAGGAGUCCAGGCAGCUGCAGGGGGAAUCAGUUUAGCAGCUUUCUGUUGUCGACUCCACGACUUCCACAGUGAUGUCACACUCGGGUACAUCAGUGCUGUCCUACUCCAGCAGCCACGCGGCAGGGAGCCAUGGCCAGCAUGGUGCUGAGGCCAGCGGGAGACGGAGGAGGGAACGGCAUCUCUCCUGGGACUUCCCCUCUCUGGCUUUGCUGAACCCUGAGUGGACUCUCCUGGACCCCGAGUGGACUCUCUUGGACCCUGAGUGGACUCUUCCUGGCUCAUGCCUCAGAGCUCAUGGAUGCAGUCCCCAUGGGGAUCACAUGUUCUCUUGGGCAGACAAAAUGGAUAUACGGUCACAAGAGAUUAGAUAGCUAUGCAAGGAGACAAGAUGAAUGUACAUCCACGAGAGAUGGAAUAGUCAUAUGAGAAGACAAGAUGGCCAUACAGUCAUGAGACAUCAGACAGCCACACAAGGAGAUGAGAUGGAUAUACAUCAUGAGAGAUCAAAUAGCCAUCCAAGGAGACAAAAUAGGUAUACAACCAUGAGAGAUCAAAUAGCCAUAGAAGGAGACAAGAUGAAUACAUAGCCAUGAGAGAUCAGAUAGCCAUGCAAGAUGGAGAGGAAGGGCUCAAAUGAGUGAUAUCGACAGUGAUACUGUAGAAACGUAUGUGCACACACGAGGAAUGGGGAUGGUGAGGAGAUUUACGGCACAGUAUUUGGACUGUGACUACAUGUGUCAGACAGAGAAGAGGGAAGCUAGAGCUCUGUGGUUCUUCUCAGAGUCCGAUUUCCUGAUUCCCUCUCUGUCCCUUUAGCCACCUGACAGUGACAAACGCCAGCUGGAUUCUACCACCAUCACCAUUUGGAGAAGAAAUCCAGGGACUGCUCAACCUCUGUAGACCAAGGAGCUAAUUGGGAGAGAAGACUGCAUCAGUCAUUGGUGCAAGGUCAUUGGAGAAGUUUUGUUGAUGGCGCCUUCUGGCCAGUGAACUUUAGCACAUGUUACCCACCUGUCCCCACCUGUUCCUUGAAGCUUCUUAGUGAGACCUGUCAAUGCACUAAGUGACAGUUGAGCCUGUGAGAAGAAAUUCCAGCUUAGAAAUACCAGUGUUUACAAGGAAGGAGAAUGAAUAUAUGUUCAAAAGUACGUCUCUAGCAUUUUGUAGAAUUGUUGCUCUUUUGAAUUUCAUUGGAAUUAAUUCAUGCAGAUGUGUACCUGGGGUUGUGCUUUUCCUGGUUAAAGAAUUCUUUCCCCCCCAUCAAUGGCUGGAGAAGUUGCUCACUGCUUACGACCAAGGGCAAUCCUUCAUUAACCUCUCCUGCACAGAUCAAGAGAGUUAAACUUAGAAUAAAGAACACAGUUUUUGAUCUGACA